rnacentral:rRNA from 1 species
UACGUAGGGGGCAAGCGUUGUCCGGAGUUACUGGGCGUAAAGCGCACGCAGGCGGUCCGCCAAGUUUCCGGUGACAGUCUCCGGCUUAACUGGAGAAGGACCGGGAAAACUGGUGGACUUGAGGGGUUCAGAGGGACAGGGAAUUCCGGGUGGAGUGGUGAAAUGCGUAGAUAUCCGGAGGAACACCGAAGGCGAAGGCACUGUCCUGGGAACCACCUGACGCUCGGAGGCGAAAGCCAGGGGAG